ACUGUGUAUUUAAAUAUAUUUUGUAUUGUGGUAUUAUUUUAAGAGAUUGCAACUUGUUUCGUUUUUAUAGUCUUGAUACAAGAAGCUGGUAAACUACUUACAGGACCUUCUAGA